rnacentral:rRNA from 1 species
UAAGACGAACCGUACGAACGUUAUUCGGAAUUACUGGGCUUAAAGGGUGCGUAGGCUGUGCGGAAAGUUGGGUGUGAAAUCCCUCGGCUCAACCGAGGAAGCGCGCCCAAAACUACCGUGCUGGAGGGAGACAGAGGUGAGCGGAACUUAGGGUGGAGCGGUGAAAUGCGUUGAUAUCCAAAGGAACACCGGUGGCGAAAGCGGCUCACUGGGUCUCUUCUGACGCUGAUGCACGAAAGCUAGGGUAGCGAACGGGA